AAUUGUAGAAUUAAUUAAUAAUAAUCCAGCAUAUGGACAAGUGUUACAGGUGGAAAAUAAUCAGAGAGUGAAUGUCAACGUUGAUGUUAAUCCUGCCUAUGAGACAAUUGCAAGGCAAAACAGACAUGAUACAAACAUCACAGAUUAUGAAACUGUUUGGUGAUUUAAAAGUUAAAACAAAUAAUUUUAGCAAUCA